rnacentral:rRNA from 1 species
GACGAACGCUGGCGGCGUGCCUAAUACAUGCAAGUCGAGCGAAUCUUAGGAGCUUGCUCCUAAGGUUAGCGGCGGACGGGUGAGUAACACGUGGGCAACCUGCCUGUAAGACUGGGAUAACUUCGGGAAACCGGAGCUAAUACCGGAUAAUCCAUUUCUUCUCAUGAAGGGAUGCUAAAAGAUGGUUCACGCUAUCACUUGCAGAUGGGCCCGCGGCGCAUUAGCUAGUUGGUGAGGUAACGGCUCACCAAGGCAACGAUGCGUAGCCGACCUGAGAGGGUGAUCGGCCACACUGGGACUGAGACACGGCCCAGACACCUACGGGUGGCAG